GACGUAGGGCGCGAGCGUUGUCCGGAUUUAUUGGGCGUAAAGAGCUCGUAGGCGGCUUGUCGCGUCGUGUGUGAAAUCUCAGGGCUCAACUCUGACAUUGCAUACGAUACGGGCAGGCUUGAGUUCGGUAGGGGAGACUGGAAUUUACGGUGUAGCAGUGAAAUGCGUAGAUAUCGUAAGGAAGACCAGUGGCGAAGGCGAGUCUCUGGACAGUUACUGACGCUGAGGCACGAAGGCUAGGGGAGCAAACGGG
rnacentral:rRNA from 1 species